rnacentral:rRNA from 1 species
UACGGGGGGGGCAAGCGUUGUUCGGAAUUACUGGGCGUAAAGGGCUCGUAGGCGGCCAACUAAGUCAGACGUGAAAUCCCUCGGCUUAACCGGGGAACUGCAUCUGAUACUGGAUGGCUUGAGUUCGGGAGAGGGAUGCGGAAUUCCAGGUGUAGCGGUGAAAUGCGUAGAUAUCUGGAGGAACACCGGUGGCGAAGGCGGCAUCCUGGACCGACACUGACGCUGAGGAGCGAAAGCCAGGGUAGCAAACGGG